rnacentral:rRNA from 1 species
AUUGAACGCUGGCGGCAGGCUUAACACAUGCAAGUCGAACGAGUGGCGGACGGGUGAGUAAUGUCUGGGAAUCUGGCUUAUGGAGGGGGAUAACUACUGGAAACUGUAGCUAAUACCGCAUACCAUCGGAUGAGCCCAAGUGGGAUUAGGUAGUUGGUGAGGUAAAGGCUCACCUAGCCGACGAUCCCUAGCUGGUCUGAGAGGAUGACCAGCCACACGGGAACUGAGACACGGUCCAGACUCCUACGGGAGGCAGCAGUGGGGAAUAUUGCACAAUGGGCGCAAGCCUGAUGCAGCCAUGCCGCGUGUAUGAAGAAGGCCUUCGGGUUGUAAAGUACUUUCAGCGAGGAGGCGUUACUCGCAGAAGAAGCACCGGCUAACUCCGUGCCAGCAGCCGCGGUAAUAC